GAUGAACGCUAGCGGCAGGCCUAAUACAUGCAAGUCGAGGGGUAAGGCUCUUUCGGGAGUACACGACCGGCGCACGGGUGCGUAACGCGUAUGCAACCUACCUUUAACAGUGGGAUAGCCCCGAGAAAUCGGGAUUAAUACCGCAUAACAAUGCGAGCUGGCAUCAGUUUGCAUUUAAAACUCCGGUGGUUAAAGAUGGGCAUGCGUGACAUUAGCUAGUUGGUAAGGUAACGGCUUACCAAGGCUACGAUGUCUAGGGGUUCUGAGAGGAUGAUCCCCCACACUGGUACUGAGACACGGACCAGACUCCUACGGGAGGCAGCAGUAAGGAAUAUUGGUCAAUGGGCGCAAGCCUGAACCAGCCAUGCCGCGUGCAGGAAGACGGCCUUAUGGGUUGUAAACUGCUUUUAUUUAGGAAUAAUACCCCGCUCGUGAGCGAGGUGAAGGUAC
rnacentral:rRNA from 1 species